UUUAUACAACUGGAGAGUUUGAUCCUGGCUCAGAACGAACGCUGGCGGCGUGCCUAACACAUGCAAGUCGAACGAG
rnacentral:rRNA from 1 species